GGCCUGUUAGUCUAGUGGUUAGGACAGUAGGUUUUCAACCUACCGACAGGAGUUCAAUUCUCCUACAGGCUACCA
rnacentral:tRNA from 2 species